GUGGGCGUAGCUCAAUGGUAGAGCAGCGGUCUCCAAAACCGCAGAUGCCGGUUCGAGCCCGGCCGCCUAUGCCA
rnacentral:tRNA from 1 species